rnacentral:rRNA from 1 species
GCCGAGGGUCGCUGCAUUGUAUAUCGACUCACUCUGGGAGCUACUUGAGGCCCCACGUCGGCAGGUCCCCGCGGCCGUGGCGUGCGCGUAGAAUGCUACCGGAAGUUUGAUCCUGGCUCAGGACGAACGCUGGCGGCGUGCUUAACACAUGCAAGUGGUGCGACGAACCAGGGCUUGCCCUGGGGCAAAGCCGCGAACGGGUGAGUAACACGUGGGUAACCUGCCCCGAUGACCGGGACAACCCGAGGAAACUCGGGCUAAUACCGGAUGUGGUGCACACACAUAAGUGUGUUCACUAAAGGAAGCUUCGGCCUCCGCAUUGGGAGGGGCCCGCGGCCCAUUAGCUUGUUGGUGGGGUCACGGCCUACCAAGGCGACGAUGGGUAGCUGGUCUGAGAGGACGAUCAGCCACACUGGGACUGAGACACGGCCCAGACUCCUACGGGAGGCAGCAGUGGGGAAUCUUGCGCAAUGCGCGAAAGCGUGACGCAGCAACGCCGCGUGGGGGAAGACGGCUUUCGGGUUGUAAACCCCUUUCAGGAGGGACGAAGGCUCACCGGUGAAUAGCCGUGUGGGUUGACGGUACCUCCAGAAGAAGCUCCGGCUAACUACGUGCCAGCAGCCGCGGUAAUACGUAGGGAGCGAGCGUUGUCCGGAAUCAUUGGGCGUAAAGCGCGCGUAGGCGGCCUCGUAAGUCCGUUGUGAAAGUCAAAGGCUCAACCUUUGAAAGCCGAUGGAUACUGCGAGGCUAGAGUCCGGAAGAGGCGAGUGGAAUUCCUGGUGUAGCGGUGGAAUGCGCAGAUAUCAGGAGGAACACCAAUAGCGAAGGCAGCUCGCUGGGACGGUACUGACGCUAAGGCGCGAAAGCGUGGGGAGCGAACAGGAUUAGAUACCCUGGUGGUCCACGCCGUAAACGAUGGGCACUAGGUGUGGGAGGUGUCGACUCCUCCCGUGCCGUCGCUAACGCACUAAGUGCCCCGCCUGGGGAGUACGGCCGCAAGGCUAAAACUCAAAGGAAUUGACGGGGGCCCGCACAAGCAGCGGAGCAUGUGGUUUAAUUCCACGCCACCGCGAAGAACCUUACCUGGGGCUUGACAUGUAAGGUGACCCCCCGUGGAAAACACCGUUUUUCCUUCCGGAACACCUUCCCCGGGUGGGGGCAUGGGCUGUCCCCCAGCUCCGGGCCUGGAGAAUGUUGGGGUUAAGUCCCCGCACCGAAGCGCAACCCCCCGUUCCCAUGGGUUGCCACGCAUUCCAGUUGGGGGGACUCCUGGGGGAAAACUGCCCGUUGAACAAACCCGGAAGGAAAGGCGGGGGAAUUAAACUUCCCAAGUCUCUCUAGGGCCCUUUUACGGGGUUGGGGGGCUCCCACCCUUGGGCCUCCCAUUGG